UGUUUGCUUUGGAAGAUGCUGCCCAAUCAUAUGUUAGAGUGCAAACAACCGUGACAGUAUGGUCUUGAGCAGAGAAUUCUUCCUUGGCAAAAAGACACUGAGAAAAUUGGAUCACAGUUUGUCAAACACUUGGCUAACACACAGGACCAGAAACCAGCCAAGCAAAGCCUCCAGUCAAUGGCCACUUUCUGGAAGACUGUGUGUUUUCCUUGCACAUAUUUAUAGUGGCACCAGCAUUGUGUGCAUGAGCCUUUCCUGAAGAUUUCCCCCACUAAUACGAUUUUCAAUAGGCAAUUUCUCCUUCUAAAGGCCAACAGAAUUAAAAUUUCCCCCAGGGAAAGGGGAGACUUCUCCCCUUUCUUUUCCUUAUUGGCAAUGUCUCUAAAAAGCACAUGCAGUCAUGGAGUUUGGCUCCAGCCUGUGGUUUCCAUCUAGGAUUCCAGCAGAUUUCUGCUUUGUCCAUGUCCAUUCCUGGAAGCACAGACCACCUUCUCACAACAUCAGUGUCCUUGUGAUGCCUUUAACUGUCCCCACAUGGAAUUUCUGCUGGUGCUGAAUCAAAGAGAAGCCUUUGAUUGUAGCAGUUGUGAUGGAGCAAACAGCUGUGCUGUCCUUGCAGAGACAGCUGGGUGGGUCCGUGUAGAGCUGGAUGCUGCAGCAGCAUCUCCAUGGCACCUUCUCUUCUGUACACCUGGAGCUGCUGGAAAACCUCAAGGAUGGCUUCAUAUUUAUCAGGAGCAUGGAAGAGUCUCCAGUUUUGCAGCACCAGUGAGGGAUAUGUUUGCUGUUAAAAGGUGGAGGAAUCCAGAGGACUGAAUCAUGCAGCAGGACUUCUGCUGCACAGCCAGAGAGAAGCCACUUUGCUGAAAUCUUACUUGUCCUUUUAUUCAUGUAAGUCAGAUGUGCUGGUAUGAGGCAGAUGAAGAAAUAAUGGUUAAAUACCUGC